UGGGGAAUAUUGCACAAUGGGCGAAAGCCUGAUGCAGCAACGCCGCGUGAGGGACGACGGCCUUCGGGUUGUAAACCUCUUUUAGCAAGGAAGAAGCGAAAGUGACGGUACUUGCAGAAAAAGCGCCGGCUAACUACGUGCCAGCAGCCGCGGUAAUACGUAGGGCGCAAGCGUUAUCCGGAAUUAUUGGGCGUAAAGAGCUCGUAGGCGGUUUGUCGCGUCUGCUGUGAAAACCCGAGGCUCAACCUCGGGCCUGCAGUGGGUACGGGCAGACUAGAGUGCGGUAGGGGAGAUUGGAACUCCUGGUGUAGCGGUGGAAUGCGCAGAUAUCAGGAAGAACACCGAUGGCGAAGGCAGAUCUCUGGGCCGUAACUGACGCUGAGGAGCGAAAGGGUGGGGAGCAAACAGGCUUAGAUACCCUGGUAGUCCACCCCGUAAACGUUGGGAACUAGUUGUGGGGUCCAUUCCACGGAUUCCGUGACGCAGCUAACGCAUUAAGUUCCCCGCCUGGGGAGUACGGCCGCAAGGCUAAAACUCAAAGGAAUUGACGGGGUCAUAGCUGUUUCC
rnacentral:rRNA from 1 species